GACGAACGCUGGCGGCGUGCUUAACACAUGCAAGUCGAGCGGUAAGGCCCUUUCGGGGGUACGACGAGCGGCGAACGGGUGAGUAACACGUGGGUGACCUGCCCUUAGCUCUGGGAUAAGCCUGGGAAACUAGGGUCUAAUACCGGAUAUGACUCCAUGACGCAUGUUGUGGGGUGGAAAGCCUUGUGCGGCUAGGGAUGGGCCCGCGGCCUAUCAGCUUGUUGGUGGGGUGAUGGCCUACCAAGGCGACGACGGGUAGCCGGCCUGAGAGGGCG
rnacentral:rRNA from 1 species